rnacentral:rRNA from 1 species
ACGGAACGCCAAGGAAAGAGUUUUCGGACAAUGGAAUUGGUUGUUUAGUGGCGGACGGGUGAGUAACGCGUGAGUAACCUGCCUUGGAGUGGGGAAUAACACAGUGAAAACUGUGCUAAUACCGCAUGAUAUAUUGGUGUUGCAUGGCACUGAUAUCAAAGAUUUAUCGCUCUGAGAUGGACUCGCGUCUGAUUAGAUAGUUGGCGGGGUAACGGCCCACCAAGUCGACGAUCAGUAGCCGGACUGAGAGGUUGGCCGGCCACAUUGGGACUGAGACACGGCCCAGACUCCUACGGGAGGCAGCAGUGGGGAAUAUUGGGCAAUGGGCGCAAGCCUGACCCAGCAACGCCGCGUGAAGGAAGAAGGCUUUCGGGUUGUAAACUUCUUUUAACAGGGACGAAGUAAGUGACGGUACCUGUUGAAUAAGCCACGGCUAACUACGUGCCAGCAGCCGCGGUAAUACGUAGGUGGCAAGCGUUAUCCGGAUUUACUGGGUGUAAAGGGCGUGUAGGCGGGACUGCAAGUCAGAUGUGAAAACUAUGGGCUCAACCCAUAGCCUGCAUUUGAAACUGUAGUUCUUGAGUGUCG